GAGACACGGACCAGACUCCUACGGGAGGCAGCAGUGAGGAAUAUUGGUCAAUGGGAGAGAUCCUGAACCAGCCAAGCCGCGUGAGGGAAGACGGCCCUAUGGGUUGUAAACCUCUUUUGUCGGAGAACAAAACCCGGGACGAGUCCCGGACUGCGUGUAUCCGAAGAAAAAGCAUCGGCUAACUCCGUGCCAGCAGCCGCGGUAAUACGGAGGAUGCGAGCGUUAUCCGGAUUUAUUGGGUUUAAAGGGUGCGUAGGCGGUCCGUUAAGUCAGCGGUAAAAUUGCGGGGCUCAACCCCGUCGAGCCGUUGAAACUGGCAGACUUGAGUUGGCGAGAAGUACGCGGAAUGCGCGGUGUAGCGGUGAAAUGCAUAGAUAUCGCGCAGAACUCCGAUUGCGAAGGCAGCGUACCGGCGCCACACUGACGCUGAGGCACGAAAGCGUGGGGAUCGAACAGGAUUAGAUACCCUGGUAGUCCACGCAGUAAACGAUGAAUGCUGGUUGUCCGGGUCGAAUGAGAUCUGG
rnacentral:rRNA from 1 species